rnacentral:lncRNA from 1 species
GCUGCAAAUGGGUAAGUGAAAUAUUGCUGCAUUCUGUCCUAUAGACUUGUGGGAUAGAAAUUACUUUAAAUUGGACCUGUACAAGGGCCCAUUAUGAAUUUAUUCCUGAUUACUCAACAUUUUAUAUAAGUAGAUUUUGGUAUUUUGAUUCUGAUUUUGAAUUUUAUUUUUUCUUUCUCUCAAAAGUUUAACUUUCUUCCAUAUUUUUCCCUUUAUACAGUUUUUGUUUUGUUUUUUGUUUGUUUUGUUUUUAUUGUUUUUGAAAUCUUUUAAUAACUAACUCAUACACCCCCAUAACUCAACAAUGCAUCCUGAGCUGAAUUGGAUGUUUUUUUUUAACACUCACCUCAGGAAGGGGGGGGAUUGUAAUUUAAUAAAAAUCCAAGAUUUUGAAUUUUUUUUUGUUCAAGAAAGAUCCUCAAGGAAUAAGCUUGCUAACUCCUAAAUCCAGAGAAUGAACUGUUGCAGAAAAGUGCCAGAAAACCUACAUUACAUCAAGAUCAAGAAUGAACUUUGGGUGGAAGACUACAUAAGUCAUGGAGAGGAUACAGUCGAUAUUACUGGAGGGAUGACCUACAUUGAAGAAAUUAUGGUGCUUGAAAUUCUCAACCUUGCCUGCCAGAGCUAUGGUAUCUGCCUGCCCUUUCCUGUUUUGGAUGACAUCUCUGGACCUGUCCUUUUGCCUGCUGACUAGCCUGUGGAAUCUUCUGGACCCUUCUAGCAUGAUUUGGUGCAGUGGUUCCAAAUGCAUUGGCUGAAAAAAAAAUAUGGCCCCUGGGUGGGGCACAUAGUUAAAGCAGGGGCCUAUGAAUCCAUCCAUAUGUGGACCUAACAUCAUUUUUUAUCUUUAUUUAGCUACAACAAAAUAUGCUUACUAAUAUAAACAAGCAAAUGUAUCUUAUAUAGACUAAAUUUAAAGUGUAUUGCAAACAUAUAGAAAGAGUUAUUUUUCAAAUAUAUGUAGGUAAUAUUGUGAUGAAUAAAAGAUUCAUUUAAAAGUGUUAAUACA